UACGUAGGUGGCAAGCGUUGUCCGGAUUUACUGGGCGUAAAGGGCGUGCAGGCGGUCUGUUAAGUCUAGGGUGAAAGCUCCCGGCUCAACUGGGAGAGGUCCUUGGAUACUGGCGGACUUGAGGGGGGCAGAGGAAAGUGGAAUUCCCGGUGUAGUGGUGAUAUGCGUAGAUAUCGGGAGGAACACCAGUGGCGAAGGCGGCUUC
rnacentral:rRNA from 1 species